GCAGUCGAGCGGACAGAUGGGAGCUUGCUCCCUGAUGUUAGCGGCGGACGGGUGAGUAACACGUGGGUAACCUGCCUGUAAGACUGGGAUAACUCCGGGAAACCGGGGCUAAUACCGGAUGGUUGUUUGAACCGCAUGGUUCAAACAUAAAAGGUGGCUUCGGCUACCACUUACAGAUGGACCCGCGGCGCAUUAGCUAGUUGGUGAGGUAACGGCUCACCAAGGCAACGAUGCGUAGCCGACCUGAGAGGGUGAUCGGCCACACUGGGACUGAGACACGGCCCAGACUCCUACGGGAGGCAGCAGUAGGGAAUCUUCCGCAAUGGACGAAAGUCUGACGGAGCAACGCCGCGUGAGUGAUGAAGGUUUUCGGAUCGUAAAGCUCUGUUGUUAGGGAAGAACAAGUACCGUUCGAAUAGGGCGGUACCUUGACGGUACCUAACCAGAAAGCCACGGCUAACUACGUGCCAGCAGCCGCGGUAAUACGUAGGUGGCAAGCGUUGUCCGGAAUUAUUGGGCGUAAAGGGCUCGCAGGCGGUUUCUUAAGUCUGAUGUGAAAGCCCCCGGCUCAACCGGGGAGGGUCAUUGGAAACUGGGGAACUUGAGUGCAGAAGAGGAGAGUGGAAUUCCACGUGUAGCGGUGAAAUGCGUAGAGAUGUGGAGGAACACCAGUGGCGAAGGCGACUCUCUGGUCUGUAACUGACGCUGAGGAGCGAAAGCGUGGGGAGCGAACAGGAUUAGAUACCCUGGUAGUCCACGCCGUAAACGAUGAGUGCUAAGUGUUAGGGGGUUUCCGCCCCUUAGUGCUGCAGCUAACGCAUUAAGCACUCCGCCUGGGGAGUACGGUCGCAAGACUGAAACUCAAAGGAAUUGACGGGGGCCCGCACAAGCGGUGGAGCAUGUGGUUUAAUUCGAAGCAACGCGAAGAACCUUACCAGGUCUUGACAUCCUCUGACAAUCCUAGAGAUAGGACGUCCCCUUCGGGGGCAGAGUGACAGGUGGUGCAUGGUUGUCGUCAGCUCGUGUCGUGAGAUGUUGGGUUAAGUCCCGCAACGAGCGCAACCCUUGAUCUUAGUUGCCAGCAUUCAGUUGGGCACUCUAAGGUGACUGCCGGUGACAAACCGGAGGAAGGUGGGGAUGACGUCAAAUCAUCAUGCCCCUUAUGACCUGGGCUACACACGUGCUACAAUGGACAGAACAAAGGGCAGCGAAACCGCGAGGUUAAGCCAAUCCCACAAAUCUGUUCUCAGUUCGGAUCGCAGUCUGCAACUCGACUGCGUGAAGCUGGAAUCGCUAGUAAUCGC
rnacentral:rRNA from 1 species